rnacentral:rRNA from 1 species
CCUACGGGCGGCAGCAGUGGGGAAUAUUGGACAAUGGGGGCAACCCUGAUCCAGCCAUGCCGCGUGUGUGAAGAAGGCCCUCGGGUUGUAAAGCACUUUCAGUGAGGAAGAACGCCUGGUGGUUAAUACCCAUCAGGAAAGACAUCACUCACAGAAGAAGCACCGGCUAACUCCGUGCCAGCAGCCGCGGUAAUACGGAGGGUGCGAGCGUUAAUCGGAAUUACUGGGCGUAAAGCGCGCGUAGGUGGCUUGAUAAGCCGGUUGUGAAAGCCCCGGGCUCAACCUGGGAACGGCAUCCGGAACUGGCAAGCUAGAGUGCAGGAGAGGAAGGUAGAAUUCCCGGUGUAGCGGUGAAAUGCGUAGAGAUCGGGAGGAAUACCAGUGGCGAAGGCGGCCUUCUGGACUGACACUGACACUGAGGUGCGAAAGCGUGGGUAGCAAACAGGAUUAGAUACCCUAGUAGUC